rnacentral:rRNA from 1 species
UACGGAGGGUGCAAGCGUUAUCCGGAGUUACUGGGUUUAAAGGGUGUGUAGGCGGGCUUUUAAGUCAGUGGGGAAAUCUCCGGGCUCAACCUGGAAACUGCCAUUGAUACUAUUAGUCUUGAAUUUUGUUGAGGUAGGCGGAAUAAGUCAUGUAGCGGUGAAAUGCAUAGAUAUGACUUAGAACACCAAUUGCGAAGGCAGCUUGCUAAACAAAUAUUGACGCUGAGGCACGAAAGCGUGGGGAUCAAACAGG